CGGGUGCUGCAGCUUCGAGUGCUUGUACAGGAUCCACAGCAGCGGCUCCUGCAGCUCCUCCACGUGGCGCUUGUCCCUCAGGAGCGGGCGGUCUGCGGGAGAGCGGCGGGGAGAGCGCGUGCAGAAACAGUUGCAAAUCAUCUUUGCCUGAAGCAUAGGAGAUGAUACCCCCCUGGAUCCACCUGGAUCGCUCUGUCCAGUGCUGGGCUCCCCAGGACAAGGGACAUGGAGCUCCUGGAGCAGGUCCAGCAGAGAACGUGAAGGUGAUGAGGAAGCUGGAGCAUCUCUCAUUUAUUUUCAUGAUCUGAAGCAAGUAAAUAUAGGAAAAUAGCAUGGAAAGGCCAGCAUGGAAUCUGUCUUCUCCCCAUAACCCCAACACAGAUAGGAUGGGACUCUUCAGUCCUCAGUCACACAGUCUGGCCUGAAAGAAAAUGUCAUCUGUGGAAAGGCACACACUGUUCUCUGAUUUUCCCUCUUCUGCUGGGAAUUUCCAUGUGUGAAAUCCUGACCAGGUGGGCAGUGGUGUUUUUUUAGAACAGGUGACCUACACUUGGGGUUGUUUAAGCACGUUUGAAAAUGUUGAGCUUUUACGGGCUUAGUUUUGCCAGUGGUCAAAAAUGUUCAAUAUAACCCAGAAUGUGUGUCCAUUCAAGGGGUUGGUUAUCCAUUUUAUAUAAAAAUUCAGCCAGGUUCAGUUCGUAGUCCCAGCUGACAAACUUGUCAAUUUAUAAAAGAUGGAAACCAUGAAGGAAAAAAAAGCCAUUGAUUGAUAAAAGCGAAGCAGAACCAUAAAUAGAAUGUACACAUUCAGACUAGAAUCUGUACUGUACAUCUAUUUACUGCUAUUUAUGGUGAAAGAUGUGGUUUUCAUCAUUUUUAUUGCUGCAAAAUCCCGUACCAUAAAGUAACAUAUCAUCAGCUUCUCAAAUUUAUUUAAGAUGCAAAACAUCCUUCACGUCGCAGAGGCACAGGGAGCCCUGGCAGGGCUCUGUACUGACAGUACUUCAGCUGCUUUCGUAAAUAUUUUGACAAUGGAGUCAUGGAGAAAUUUCUUGUUUACCGGGAAUUUUAGGGGCUCGAGCUGAAGGUCUUCACCAACUAUUUGAACACACCUUGGGGCACAUUAAUGGUCACGUAGUGGAACUCGAGGGCACGUUUCAGGCUCGCUGUUAAUCGCUGCACUUUGCUUGCUGCUGGAAGCAAAGCUUAUUUUUUCUCUUGUUUGUGAAAAUUUCAACCAAAAACUGAAAAAAAAUGUUACCUCAGUACGAUCAGUGGCAACUAUGUGUGAUGGCAGGUGAUAUGUUCCAUUUCACCCAAGCAAUUUAGUAAUCACUUGAUUAAUUAAAGGAUGAUUUCGCGGGGGAAGCUGUAGGAUCACUUGAUUGUCCCUAUGUGCAGAUUAUAUGCAUUAUUAAGGUUUUAUCUCUUCCUCCCAGUUUUAAUGUGCCAAGAAGCUCCCCAGAGCUACCCUUUGAAGAAAUCCCACUCUUCUUCUCCUUAAAUGUGUUCUCUCUUGGUCAUACAAUAAUCAUAAUAAGAAUUGGCUUAUUUCUCUAACGGAUUGUGUUGCAAUUAGCUUGAAAUCUUCCUUUGAAAUUGUUACCCUCAUGAAUAAUUAUUUCAAAGGUAUAAUUUUUAUGCACUGUAAAAUAAGAGGUUGUUUGAAACUCACAGAUUUCCAGGUACUUUUGGGAAGGGAAACAAAUAAUUUAAUUUAAAAGUCGUUUUUCUUCCCUCUCUAUGUCAAAUGAAGUACUGUUGGAACAAACCCUUGGCAGUAGGAUACCAAAUUUAAAAGCUCGUGUUUUCUGUUUUCAUUUAGUCAGAUGUUUAAAAAGAAAGGGAAAAAAAAAAAAGGGGGAAAAGAAGGAAAAAAGCCCAAUGCCCGAAAUCUUUUCACAUGGCAAAUUGAUGUGUGGCUGGAGCAACAAUUCAUAAUCCCAGAGCAUGCAGAGAAGGAAAUUAAAUACUCACCGGAGUUCC